GCAUUACACACACACACUACAUUCACUAAACACACUCUGCAUUACACACACACACUACAUUCACUAAACACAGAGUGUGUCUAGUGAAUGUAGUGUGUGUGUGUAAUGCAGAGUGUGUUUAGUGAAUGUAGUGUGCGUGUGUAAUG